GUGUGUGUGAGAGAGAGAGAUUCCUUUAACAUUAAGGAGCAUCAGUGAGAAAAGAUGAUGAGGCAGGAAUUAAUAAAGAAAUGAAGUCGUGUGUGUGUGUGUGGUUGCCUCUCAGUGGGCCCAUAAUUUCAUAAACGUCAUGCCUGGACAAUUUGAUAUUCAUCUUUAACACCCCUACAUCUUUUCAUUAAAGGAAUAUGGGCUGAGUGCAGCGGCUCACAUUUGUCAUCCUAGCACUUUGGGAGGCCAAGUUAGCAGAAUCGCUUGAGGCCAGGAAUCUCAGACCGAUGUGGGCAACAUAGUGAGAUCCCAUCUCUACAAAAAAAAUUAAAAAUUAGCCAGGCACGGUGGCAUAUUCCUGUAGUCCUAGCUACUCAGGAGGUUAUGGUGGAGGAUUGCCUGAGCCCAGGAGUAAGGCUGCAGUGAGCUAAGAAGGAGCCACUGUAACUCCAGCCUGAGCCACAGAGUGAGACCCUGUCUCUAAGGAACAACAAAAAAGAAAGAAAGAAAGUGGCUACUUCUCAUGAAGCCCAGAUUAAAGUUUCUGUGAAGAUGGUCUGUGAACUGUUGUUGGAAUGAAAUUGGAGUCUAGCACAAAUUAAGUUAAUCUACUCUGUAUUCAUCAUUGGGCAAAAGAAAAUCUUUAUUUGCAAAUAGUCUUUUUCCUUCACCCACACUAAUAGAAAAAGGAGACUAGUUUGUUCCUACUGGAUUCCACUUGGGAUGAAAAGCAUGUUUUCUUCUUUGUUUCCGAUUUUUUAAAAAUGCUUCUGGGCCAGUGCGAUCCAUGUGUUGGUGCCUAGGCUGGAGGAAGGAGUUUCUUGGAGGGAAACAGCCACUGGGGCUCCGCGGAGGGCCAGGUGGGACCUUCCUUCCCAGUCACACUCUGUGUCCUUGCAGUCCCCUUCACAGUCUAGAUGAGUAGCCUAGCUUCAUUCUCAAAGACAGAAAAAGUAUUUGCUUUUCAACAUAGAAAGUGCAUAACCCCAGAUGAGACUGAGCAUGUGGUUCCAAUCCACUACAGCUCAUCUGCUUCAGGCCUGCCUUCUCCUGUCCCGUGUCCCAGGGCUGCAGGCCCGAGUCAUUCGGGUCCAUCACAUCUUCUGAAGGCCUAGGAGGAGCCAUCCUCAGUCACCCCAAGCUCUGUAAAAGGUCGAAACACUGCCAGCACCUCAGUGCACCACUGUGUGGGCUCCACAUGGGAAAGGCCCGACCAAGCCUUGCCCUCAGAGGCUAUUGAGAUAGUGCAGGCAGCCUCCCUAUCCUCAUUUGGAUGGAAUGAAACAGAAGCUCAAUAAGGCCAAGGGACUCAUGGAGGGCCCAUCCCUGGUAGGGUCCCGGAGCUGAGUGCAGCUUGCCCCCCACCCCCAGACCCUGAGGGGCUUGUUCAGUCAGGCCUCCUCCUGUCACUGCUGGAGUGGGGACUCUGACUCCUGUGUUUACCUCAGAGUGCACGUACAGGACAUCCAGUCUAGAGGUGAGGCUUGGUGACAGCUUCUACUGAUACUUAGAAUUGUGGGAGAGCAAGUCUGGAGGAGGAGGAGGAGGAGCAGCAGCGCUCUCAGCCAGCAGGGGGAGUGAUGAUUAUCAUUUCAGGUAGCAAGGAUACAUAUUUCCUACCUGGGGAAAGGAUUUGCAACUUUGUUUCCAGAGCAUUUUGAUUGGCUUCUUUUUCCUUUAAACCAAAAAAUGUUUUAAAUGUUUAAGGGUCAUGUGAAGCAGCUGAGCUUCUGGCAAGACCGCAGAACUGUCCUCUGAGUCUGAGGGCUGGGCAGUGCCACAGGACAGUCCCUGGGCUCAGGACUGUCAGCUCUUGUCAUGGGAGGAAAUGAGGCCCCUCAAAAACCCAGUCACUUGACAGAGGGCACACUCCCAAGGAAGCCCUGACUGGGGAAUCAUACAGCCUCUCAUCCAGGCCUCCCAGCUCACUGAGGUGUCCCCAGACUCCUGAUCGCCCUCCUCUCUUUCUCUCUUCUCAUUCAUCACACAAUAGAAGUACCCACUGACUAAAAGCUCAGCUGGGGCAGCAGCCUCCAAGGAGGCCUGCAAGUGAUGCUCCCAACCCUGGUUCCUGCCCCACCACAUGCAUCACUGCCACAGCUCUGCACAGCCACCAGAGGUUUCUUAUUUUUGUGAAAGAUUUAUUAUAUGGCAAUAAAUCUGAAUGAUAAACUUUCAUUAUACUUGCAUUGAUUUUGAGUAUUUGCUUAGAAAUUUUUACACGAAGUAAAUAUAUGUAAGAUGCAACACAGGAUCAUCAUGUGUUCAGAUGGAAAUUAACAUCUGAUUUUACCCAAGAUCUGAAGCUGUUACUGCAUUGUGUCAUUUUAACAACAAAGAUUUCUGCCACAUAUUUAAUUUUAAAAGAGUGUCCCUUUCAAUAGCAUCUUCCCUAUCAAGAGUUCAAGGCACUUUGCAGAAUAGCUUCAGAAUUCUAACUCUAGUUCCCACAGUCCCGCAUUGAGGGUGGUGUCAUACAAUCUAUGAACAACAACCUUGCAACAGGACUGCCACCAUUCAACAGUGCAGACAACACAGCUCAAGGACAAAGACAGAGAAAGGGAAGAAGAGAAGGUCCUGAAGGUGAGGCACAGAAAGUACACUGCACACAGUCCUCACUGGAAGGAAAUCACAGGGGCUGGGAAGUAGACAGUGGAAAGAGGAAUGGACACAGGACCAGCACCAGAACACUCAGCAACUUCCUAAGAGCUUGCUAAGUUACAUCCAAGAGAAAUAUUUAGUCGGGGAAACUUUUAAAUGCUAAAUAAACUUCUUAAUAUAUCAUACUUUAAGCAACAUUUUAUCCUUUAGAUUCUGAGGAGCCAGGGUUUUGCAUUGGGUGGUAUAGCUUUCUGCAUAACUGAGUUACCCUGUGCUACUUUGGAGAGACAUUAAGUUAGAGUUUCAGCACUCGCUAUACUUCAGAGGCUUGAGUCUCCUAAUUCUCUCCUAGGCACUACGCCUGCAAUAUCAGUAGUUGCCACUUGAUUUUAGGGACUGAUCUGUGCGCCUUCUGACUCCAGAUUCACAACUAUUCCAGCGUCCUGCAUCACCUCCUGGAGUCAAAGAGGUCAGAGUCUCUAUUCAGUGAUGAAGAGCCAAGCUAACUACGCAUAUGAAGAGCUAAGGAGUAGAUUAUAGCUCAUGAUCCACAGCAAAUAAUGCAUAUUUAUUUUGUAAGAAUUCUAUUAAAACAUUAAUCUCAUUAGGGUAUAGGUAUCAGGGUUCCCACCCAAAGCAAGGGAGAUUCACCAGCAGCCCCUAGCCCCUUGGUCAGGUCAUACUCUGACCCCUAAUCUGACUUCACAAGGCUAUCCCAAUGCCAGCUACUCAGACACAGCCUCUGGCCUUAGCAAAAACCCUGGAGGAAAAGCAACCCCACAGAGCUGAGCAGGUAAUACUUCACUGUCUUGUUGGCUCUGGGAUCCUUCAAGCAAAUUUUUUAAAUAUUUUGACCAGAUUUCCAAGUUGUCCUUGGCUGGAGGGUUGAUCCUUCAUUAUUAUCAUUAGACUAUCCCUCAUGGGCUCUGCAAUUCAACUUCUAAACCACCUCAGUACCUGAAUGUGAUCCAAGGUGAAACUAGAUUACUAAUGCCUUCAGGUGCCCAGCUGAAGCAAAUGCAAAUUCUGUGGAGAAAGUGAACAUAACCCAAGGUCUCAAAUUAUUUCUGCUGUGUCGCCCCCAGAAAUACCCAGGUAUGAGAGAAGACCAGACAACAUUAAUUACUUGAAUUAAAACCAUUAGGGGAAAACACAGACAACUAAUGUAGAUAUAUUUAAGUAAACUUUAAGGCAAUAAUUUUUUUAAGAAACAAAAGGGUCAAUUCAAUUACUAGGAAGAUAAUCUAAAUUUAUGUGUACUUAAAAUAUAACCUCAAAAUAUGUAAAAGACAGUUUGAUAGGAAAUUUAGGCAAAUAUGUAACCAGAGUGAUAUUUUAACAUGCCUAUUUUGUUAAUUGGUAGAAAAACUAGCAUACAAAAAUCAAGUUCUAAAAGAUUUAGCAAUGAAAUGAGCAACCCAAAUGGAUGUAUGUAGAACACCAAACUCAAUAACGUACUUUUCAAACACAAAUGGCACACACUAUAAAAUACUGAGCUAUAAAAAUUUCAACAGGCUAGAUGCAGUGGCUCACAUCUGUAAUACCAGCACUUUGAGAGGCCAAGGCAGGAGGAUCACUUGAACCCAGGAGUCUGAGACCAGCUUAGGCAACAUAGUGAGACUCCAUAUCUACAAAAAAUCCAAAAAUUAGCCGGGCAUGGUGGCAUGUGCCUGUAGCCCCAGCUACUUGAGAGGCUGAGGCCGGAGAAUCACUUGUGCCCAGGAGGUUGAGGCUGCAGUCAGCUAUAAUCGCACUACUGUGCUCUAGCUUGGGUGACAGAGCAAGACCCUGUCUCUGAAAAACAAAAACGUCUCAACAAACUUGAAAAUACUUCAAAUGAAACAUGUUCUCUGACCAUAAAGGAAUCAAGACAAAUUAUUUACAAAAAGAUAAUUUUAUAAUCCUCAUAUUUUUGGAAAUUAGAUUUCCAAGUAACCCAUCUAUCCAAAAAAUCAUAAUAGAAAUUUGAAAUAUUUUAAACUGAUCAUGAAAAUACUACAUAUCAAAACUAACGGAGAAAAAGUUUGUGGGAUACAACUAAAACUAUGCUUAGGAAGAUGUGUUUUAUUUUAAAAUUAGAGGGUACGUGUUCAGGUUUGUUAUGAGAGUAUAUUGUGUGAUGCUGAGCUAUGGGCUUCUAAUGAUCCUGUCACCCCAAUAGUGAAUAUAACCAAUGGAAAGUUUUUCAGCACUUGCUUCCCUCUCUCCUUCCCUUCCUCCCUCCUUUUGGAGUCCCUAGUGUCUAUUGUUCCCAAAAUAUAUAUAUCUUUAAAUGCUUAUGUUAGAAGAAAGGUUAAAAAUCAAUUAAGCAACUACCUCGAAAUCAAAUGAAACCUAAAAACAAGCCAAAACUACAGAUACAGAACACAAAUAUACAAUACAGGGAAUCAAAGUUAAAAGCUGGUUAUUUAAAAGGAUUAAGAGGAUUCAUCGGCUGGGUGCGGUGGCUCACACCUGUAAUCCCAGCACUUUGGGAGGCCAAGGCAAGUGGAUCACCUGAGGUCAGGAGUUUGAGACCAGCCUGACUAACAUGGUGAAACCUCAUCUCUACUAAAAAUACAAAAAUUAGCUGGGCUUGGUGGUGGGCACCUGUAGUCCCAGCUACGCAGGAGGCUAAGGCAGGAGAAUUGCUUGAACUUGGGAGGUGGAGAUUUCAGUAAGCCAAGAUUGCACCACUGCACUCCAGCCUGGGUGACAGAGUGAGACUCCAUCUCAAAAUAAAUAAAUAAAAGGAUUCAUAACCCCUUAAAAUACUGAUCAAAGAAGAAAGGAGAAAAGGCAGGAGAGAGGAAUAACCAGUAUCAGAAAGGACAACAGGCAAGUUACUUCAGAUUAUGCAGACAUUUAAAAUAUUUAAGAGCCAGCCUGGCCAACAUGGUGAAACCCUCCUGUCUCUACACACACACACACACACACACAAAUUAGCUGAGCCUGAUGGUGUGCGCCUAUAGUCCCAGCUAUCGGAGAGAGUAAGGUAGGAGGAUUACCUGAGCCCAGGAGGUAGAAGCUGCAGUGAAUUGUGGUCAUGGCACCACAUUCCAGCCUGGGCAACAGAGUGAGAGACCCUGUCUCAAAAAAAUUUUUUCUUAAAUAUAUAUAUCUAUAUAUACACACAUAUUUUAUAGACUAUAAUGAAUACCAAUAAAUUUUAAAUCUAGAUGAAAUAUUUAUUGCAGUGAUAGGUGUAUACAUAUAUCUAAUCAAAUUGUACACUUUAUUACAUAUGUGCAGUUUUUAUAUAUUAAGUAUGCCUUAUUAAAGUUGCUUUUAGAUUUUGCAUAAAAUGAACAAAUUCUUUAAAAAAAAAAAAAAAUAAAGCUCUCCAAAACUGACACGAAAAGAUCCUGAACAUUGGAAUCAUUCUAUAUCUAGUGCAUAAACUAAGUCCAUAAUUACAAUCUGCCACAGAAAAUUUACAGACCAAAAUGGAUUCAGUAGUGAAUUUAACCAAACAUUUAAGAGCAAAAUAGCCCUUUUGCGGCCAUGACCUGAGCGGGAGCUGCCAAAAUGAAGUUCAAUCCUUUUGUGACUUCCGACUGAAGCAAAAAUCGCAAAAGGCAUUUCAACGCACCUUCCCACAUUCGGAAGAUUAUGUCCUCCCCCCUUUCCAAAGAGCUGAGACAGAAGUACAACGUGUGAUCCAUGCCCAUCCGAAAGGAUGAUGAAGUUCUGGUUGUACGAGGACACUAUAAAGGUCGGCAGUUUGGCAAAGUAGUCCAGGUUUGCAGGAAGAAAUAUGUAAUCUACAUUGAACGGGUGCAGCGGGAAAAGGCUACUGGCACAACUGUCCAUGUAGGCAUUCACCCCAGCAAGGUGGUUAUCACUAGGCUAAAACUGGACAAAGACCGCAAAAGGAUCCUUGAACGGAAAGCCGAGUCUCGCCAUGUAGGAAAGGAAAAGGGCAAAUACAAGGAAGAAACAAUUGAGAAGAUGCAGGAAUAAAGUAAUCUUAUAUACAAGCUUUGAUUAAAACUUGAAAUGAGGGGGAAAAAAAAGAGCAAAAUAAUGCCAAUUUUAGACAGACUCUCCCAGAGAAUAGAAAACCUUCUAUUUGUUUUCUGAAACCAGCUUAACCCUACAUAUAAAAAAUCUGCCAAGAACAAUACAAGAAUUACAGGCUAGUCCUCAUGGUAUAGAUGCAAAAGGUCUAAACAAAAUGUUAGCAAAUAAAAACCAGCAAUCUGCAAAAACAAUGUGUAAAAAUACAUCAUGAUCAGAUUUGUCAUUCACAAAUCAAUCAGAGUUAUUCACAUAAUUCAGAAGGAAAAGUAAUGCAGGUAAAAAAUGUGAUAAAAUUCAGCAGUCUUGGGUGAUCGAAAUGUUUAGCAAACUAGGAAAAAAGGAAGCUAUCUUAAUCUUAUAAACAUUUAAAUGCUACAGUAAACACAUCAUACUUAAAAUAUUAAAAUCUUUCAUUCCGAGAUCAGAAGCAAAAAGAAUGUCUGUCAUCACUUCUAUUCAAAUGUCGCUAGGUAAUACUAUAUGUGCCUAAGUAUUUAGCGAGGAGUGUACUGGUACCUUAAAUUACUUUAAAAUGCAUUAUGAAAAGGGGAAAAAGGAUGGCUUGAUGGAUAGAUAGAUAGGUGAUAAAAACAGAUAUAGUAAACAUGGUAAAAUCUAGAAUGGUAGAAUCUAGAUGGUGGCUCUAACAAAUAUACACUGUAUAAUAUUCAAUUUUGCUAUACAUUGAGGAAACUAUCACCUGAGUUCCUAGCCUAAUACAACAAGAUUUUCUUUAUAAUUAAUUGGGUAGGGUCAGACAAAAAUGAACUAUCAUUAUUUGUAAAUGACAUGAUUGAGGAUAUAGAUAAUUUAAAAGAAUCAGACAAUAAACCUAGUAAAAUUAAAAAGGUUUCUAGAUACAAGGUCAUGACAAAAAUCACUUGUGUUUCUGAUGCUAGCAAGAAAUGAUUCGAAAAUGAAAUUUUAAAAGCGAACCAUUUACAAUAACAUUUUUUAAAACAUUAAAUAUACAGAAAUCGAUCUAAAAAAAUGUGACUGAAACUAAAGAUCUAAAUAAGGUUUCCCUAAAUAAGAGACCAUUCCAGGGUCAUUAGAUUCAUGAGUUGGAAGGCUCAACAUUAUAGUUGGUUCCCUCAGAACUGAUCUAUGGAUUCAGUGCAAUAUCAAUCCAAAGUCCAGUUCUUUGGAGGAAUAAGGAAACUUGACAAAUUGAUUCUAAAGUCUACAUGGACAUACGAAAUGCCUAGAAUUGCACAGAAAAUCCCGAAAAAGAAUAAAGCUCAUACUUACAUGGCGAGAUGUCUACAACUUACAGAUGUGCUCUGACCUAUAGGCCAGGUGUGGUGGCUCAAACCUGUAAUCCAAGCACUUGAGAGGCUAAGGGAGGAGGAUUACUUGAGACCAGUCUAGGCAACAUGGUGAAACCCUGUCUCUACAAAAAAAUUUUUAAAUUAGCCAGGUCUGAGGCUGGGCAUGGUGGCUCAUGCCUGUAAUCCCAGCAUUUUGGAAGGCGGAGGCGAGUGGAUCACUUGAGGUCAAGAGUUCAAGACCAGCCUGGCCAACAUGGAAAAACCCUGUCUCUACUAAAAGUGCAUUAAAAUUAGCCAAGCGUGGUGGCAAAUGCCUGUAAUCCCAGCUACUCAGAAGGUUGAGGCAGGAGGAUCACUUGAACCUGGGAGGUGGAGGUUGCAGUGAGCCAAGAUAGUGCCAUUGCACUCCAGCCUGGGUGACAGAGCAAGACUCUGUCUCAAAAAAAAAAAAUUGCCAGGUGUGGUGGUAUACACCUGUUGUCCCAGCAACUGGAGAGGCUGAGGCAGGAGGAUUGCUUGAGCCCAGAGGCAGAGGUUGCAGUGAGCCGAGGUCAUACCACUGGACUCCAACCUAAGUGACAGAGCAAAACCCUGUCUAAAAACAAAGACUUACAGAUUUACUCUAAGUUUAAUAUUGUUACAAGAGUAGACAAACUAUGUCGAUGAAAUAGAACUUAAAAGGUCCACAUAUGUAAGGACAGUUGAUUUGACUGCUGUAUAAUGGGGAAAUGGUUUUUUUCCCAAUAAAUGGUGUGGGCACAGCGAAGGGAAAAUGAAUCUUGACCUCUACCUCACUCUCUCUACAAAAUCAAUUCCCAGGGGCUACAGAGCUAAAUGUGAAAGGUUAAACCAUAGUAUUUUAGAAUAAAGCAUAGGAGACUAUCUUCAUGUCCUUAAGAUAGACAACAAAAAAUGCUAACCAUAAAGGAAAGGUCAGAUAAAUCAGAUUAGAGUCAAGUUAGGAACUUCUGUUUAACAGGAGACAUCAAUAAGAGAGUGAAAAGGUAAGCUACAGAGUGAAAGCAGGUCUUUGUAAUGUAUAGAACCACAAAGGGGUCAAAUAAAGACAAUAUAAAGAAUUCAAUAAGGAAAAAUAAAAUUGGCACAAGACAAGCAUUUCUGAAAAUUUUUCAGUUCACCAAUAACAUGGAAAAGGACUGAAAUCAAGGAAAAAUGCAAACUGAACCCACAAUGAGGUACCCGAUACCCAUUGCACAGUCACCAGAAUGGCUAAAUUAAAAAGGUCAACAAGAUACUACUUAGCCCAGCGCCUAGUGGCUAGGCUGAUUCUCUCCUUUCCAAUCGGACUGGCUAAAUUAAAAAGGUCAACAAGAUACUACUUAGCCCAGCGCCUAGUGGCUAGGCUGAUUCUCUCCUUUCCAAUCGGAGGCCUCUGCAAUAAACAUGCUCCAGAUCACCAAGAAGCACCCGUGCUUGCUCCUCCUCCUUGUAUUUAUUGGAGCUGGAGGUAUUGGAGCAGCACUGUAUCUCUUGCAUCUGGCAUUGUUCAAUCCAGAUGUUAGUUGGGAAAGAAAGUAUAACCCAAAGCCCUAGAACAAAGUAGGUGCCAGUGAUCAAACAAGUUCUACCCAGUGAAUGUGGAUUACGGCAAACUGAAGAAAGAAGGUCCAGAUUUCGAAAUGAAAUGUUUCACGAUAAAGCUGCUUUAGAAUGAAGGUCUUCCAGAAGCCAUCGCACAGUUUUCCACUUAACCAGGAAAUAUUUCUCCUCUAAAUGCAUGAAAUUGUGUUGAUGUCAUCUGUUGGAGAUUACACUAAUUAAUAAAUAACCGAAACAAAAAAAAAAAGGUCAACAACAUCAAGUGUUGGUGAGGAUGUGGAACAACAGGAAAUCUCAUACCCUAUAUGUAUUCCAUGUAGAAAUAUAAAUUGAUAGCACUUUGAAAAACUGUUUAGUAAUAUCCACCAAAGUUGAAGAUGCUCAUGCCCUAAGACCUAGCAACAGGUUAAAUCAAGACUGUUGAUGGUGCAAUUAUUCCUAAUACCUCAAAACUAGAAACACCAGGAAUAUCCACAGUAGAAUGUGUAAAUAAAUGGCAAUAUAUCUAUGCAAUGUAAUGCUAUACAGCCGUGAAAAAUAACCAGCUACAUUCAGUUACACAGGUGAAACUCAAAUGUUACAGCAUCCAAGAAGACUGAUAAAAAAGAACACAUACUGUAUGAGCUCAUUCACAUAGAGAAAAGGCCAAAAUAAACCUAGUUGUGGGAUGUACACUUAAGUAGUAAAACUUUGAUGAAGGACAAGGGCAGGCCUAGCCUGAAAACCAGAAUAUGGGUUACUUUUGGGAAAACAGAAGCAACCAUGAUUGGGAGGGGCACAGGAUGGACGAGAAGCUGGCAGUGUUCUGUUUCCUCAGGGCCAGUGGUCACAGAAGUGUUUCAUUGGCAAUAAAUCAGCGAACUGUUCAUUUUCAUCUUGUGUAUUUUCUGUAUGUUUAUUAGAUCUUACAAGUAAAACUUAAAGGUAAUCUCAAGUUAAUUUGCAUUUUAAACAAGACUGAUAGAAAUUUCCCUCAGAAUAAGUUGCUCACCUCUCAUGUCUCCUCACCCGCUAAGUUCUAGGUGGGUCUUGCUAGAGGAACAAUAUUGUAACUAGUCCUAAAACGCUGAAUGAGACAGAAGAUUUGGCUUCUGGGAGGUUGAGUUGAUUGUUUUUCUUAAGUUCUCAAGAUUUCUUCUUGGAUAUUUGAUUACUGUUAAAUGAAUUUCUACUGACUGAUGCAUGGAACCCAAUGAAACAGCUGUUCAUUGAAAUGAAUGCCAAAAUCGCCUCUCCCCACAGAAAGACAGUAGGCGCCAGUAAGCCCUGGCGGGCCCAGUCUCUACUCCCAGCCCCUUUCCCCCACCCAGUGCUAUCAGCCCAGCACCUGAGCCUGAGCAGGUGACCCCCUGCACCCAGCCAGGAACACUGCCUGCCAUGAGAAGGGCCCCUCCCACUAAGCAUGGGAAUUCCUGGUCUGUGUUCUUACCAUUUCCUGAGGCAGAGGAGGGGCCUCCAACUCAAGACAGGGAAUUUCUCCACACGUGUGGCAGCUGCUUUCUGGGCUCUGGGCCCCCAACUCUAAGCCAAGGCCAUGGAGAGAUGCUUAAACGUAAAGCCCUCAUGGCCACCCUGGGCUUUGGGGAAGCAGCUCCACUCCUCACCCCAGGAGUGGAGGCUGCAUGGCCCUGGGCAAGUCCCCCUGCUUCCUGACAUCACCGUCUUCCUUGUGAAGCAGUACACUUACAUGAGACACUGGGUAAGGGGGUGACAUCCUCAUGACAUUACAGUUCACAUAUCCGUUUUCUCACUUGCCUAUACUCAUCUCAGCCCCAGCCCCACCUGUGACAGAGGAAAGACAGAGAAAGAGGCUGAGAAGUCACACCGUACCCAGAACAGACCUCGCCACUCUCCCAUACCACACCACUGUCUCGUGGUCCUCAUUUUUAUGGGACAUUGAGGAACCCCUUGCACCUGGCUCCCACUGUGUGGCUGGGGACAUGGAUUGCUUCCUUGAAAAUGUUGCUAUUGCAGCUGACAGAGUAGGUUCACUGUCCCUGAAGGGAGCCCAGGAGUAGCCUGUCAGAGAAGAGACCUACCCGCUGGCCUCCAAGGUCCUUCGCUGCACUUGGGGAGACGAGGCAGAUUAGUGCGUGAGCCCGGGUGUAAUUCAGCCAAAUCAUCGUGGUGGCAUUGGGGGUGGGCACCUGUUCGUGGUCACCUUCAUGGCUUCAGAGCCUGGGUUCCAGUUCCAUGUGCCUGCUGUGAGAGCUCAGGCUGACACAGUCUCUUGGGGGCUCAGUUUCUACAUCCUCCUAUACCAAGGUGUGGCAGAACAAGGUCAGAGUUACUGAAAACAGGCCAUUUGCUUCUUUAGGCAGGGUUACCAGAGGGUUUGGUGGAGGGGUGGUGACCCAAACAACAGUUCUCAAAGUGGGAUUCAGAGACCUGGGGGUCCCUAAGGCACUUUCAUCAUCAUCAUCAUCAUCAGUUAUUUGCCUUCUCUCUUGUGGAGUUUUCCAGAAGCUGCAUGUGGUGAUAUUGCAACAGAUUAAAUGUGGAAACUGACACAAGAAUCUGGCUGUCUUCUGUCAAGGCAGACAUUGGAGAUUUGCAAAAAUGCAAAACAAUGCCACUCUCCUCACAAAUCUUUUUCUUUUGAAGCGUAGUAUUCUUCAUAAAAGUUAUUUAGGUUAGCAUUUCAUGGAUUUAGUAUUGUAAUUCUCUAGUGAAUUAACAUUUUUAAAUUUGCUUAACUUUUAAUAAAUAUGGGCAGACACAACCCACAGAAACAAAGCUUUGAGGAGUCCUCAGUGGUUGUUAAGAAUGCAAAGUGGUGCCAAUCCCAGAGACUCUGAGAACCACUGAUCCGAGGGAUGGUUUCUAGAGGGAUGGUUCUGGUCUCUGCUUCUCAGCCUGGCCUGAUCAAUGGUGUUAUCAGUGUGUGGAGGAAGAUAUAGAAAGAAUCUUCACAUCUGUGAGCGACGAGGUGACCGGGCUGCUCAAUAGACCACCUGACAGAGAGGAUCCAGAGAGAGGAACAGGCUGAGUCCGGGAGAUGAACUGUAGCAGGAUCCACUGUGGAGUUCAACCUUUGCGCCUGGCGGUUUGGGUUUAGGGGAGUGAGUGUCACCCAGUGGCUUCACUCUGGACAGUAAUUAGGAGUUCCAGUUGUGUGUAGUGACUGCCAGAAAUGAUGAUGUGAUUAUUCCUCAUUAGUAGACAUACCAAGUACCCAGGACAGCGUGGUCACUGUGCUGGUGACAAAUUCAGCUUUUGUCUAUCUAUAAACACCUCUGUCUUGUCUUCAUUUUUGAAGACGUUUUCAAAAUUCUAGGUUGGAGUCUUGCUCUUCACAGGGUCAGCUUAGCCAGUGACUUAAGAGGAGUUACUGGCUAAUGUGGGGCUCCUUCCUCUCUUGUUCCAGCCACACUGGCUAACCCAACCUGCACCCUCUGACUUGAGAGCCCAGGAAGCCCGUGACUUUGCUUGGGCUCUGUUUGCUGGUCCUGGUGUACUGGAGAGGCCGUGGGGAAAUGCAGGCGAAGGAGGAGAUUACUGAAUUAUUCCUAGCCAACAUCCAUGCUCGGCCACCUUCCCCUGCAGAGAGCACACACACCCUCCCAAAGAACAGAAGCCCAAAGGAAGUUCCAUCUUGGGACUGCACCAGCCUCAUGUCUGGUUGUGGUCUUCCUUCCUAAGUACAGGAGGCAACAGUCUGACCUAAUCUCUCUACCCAUACGGGGUGAAUUCUCACCAUCUACCACCAACCAACUCCAGUAAAUGCAUUUUAGGUGAUGUUAUUUGCAGUAAACAUGUAAUCUACUUGAGCUAAUUUGGGGAGAAAAGGGCUUAUUUCUGGAUAGCUGCCCAAUUCCAGGGUGAGCCAGGGACCUAAGCUUGGAUAACACCCAGCCAGGGAAAAGGCCCAGGACUGAGAGGCAACAUGGCUGCUGCCCUGCCCAACACUCAGUGUCCUGCCAUGCAGCUAGAGACCAGUCAGAUAUUCUACCCAUGGUGGCCCCGGAGAAGCCAGGGACCGCCGCUUCGCCCGAACGCCCAUGCACUUGCUGUGUCCGAUGCUCCCUCCACUUUCCGAGUCCCAGCUGGGUGGCUCUUCCUGGAGAAAGCUGGGCUGCAUGCGGAACCCCGGCUUCAGAGGCGCCUGGAGAAGGAAGGCUUUUGCUUUCCUGCCUCUAGUGUCAGGAGAGCCAGAGAGGGCUCUAUGUGGGAGACUGUGCCUCGCGACGCGAGAUAGACUGUGACGUCUGUACUUCAGCUUCGGCUAUGGUUUGAGGCUCAGUUGAAAUGACAUUCAAACAAUGGAGAAUAUGACUGGACCUGUAAUUCCAGCAUGUUGGAAGGCCAAGGCAGAAGGGUGGCUUGAAGUCAGGAGUUUGAGACCAGGCUGGGCAAUAUAGCAAGACCCCGUCUCUACCCAAAAAACAUUUUUUUUUUUAAUUAGCCACAUAUGGUGGUGUGUGCUUGUGGUGCCAGCUACUCAGGAGGCUGAGGUGGGAGGAUUCCUUGAGCCCAGGAGGUCAAGGCUGCAGCUAGCUAUGACUGUGCCACUGUAUUCCAGCCUGCAUGACGGAGCAAGACUCUGUCUUUAUUUUUUUUUAAAUGGAGAAUCUACCUUCUCAGGGAGCAGGGAUUUAUGUAUAAUUAUGAUUUCUGCACAUCUGUGUCCCACACCUUGUAAUCUACCUGAUUGCAGGAAAUAAUGGUUGAAUAAUGUCAGCAUUUAGCACUGUGUCUAGAAAUGGUAAGCCCUCAGAAAAUCAAAGCUAGUGUCAUCUCACAGACAGGAAGCCCCAGCGAGGGCAGAGGCAGCAGCCCAGUGCUUCCUAAGGUCACAUGCUCUGUCCCUCUGUACUUGACACCCUCUGGCUCCCUCAUACUCACAAGACGGCUGCCACAGCUCCUGGUGUUACAUCAAGGCAUGAUCUCAUCUGGAGCACAGCUCAGGAGUGGGGCUCCUCUCCCAAAGGCCCCUUCACAUGUCCUUACCCAGGCCUGUUUUCCACACUCAUUUCUAAACCAUUAUUGGCAAUGAGAGGAGUCUCCAUCAUGGCACCAGGAGGGAGCCAGCCUACGUAGCUGCAGAGAGAAGAAUAAGCCCCAGGAUAAUAAUCAGGCUCUGAUAUGGUUGGGAUGUUUGUCCCCUUUAGAUCUCAUAUUGAAAUGUGAUCCCCAGUGUUGGAGGUGGGGCCUGGUGGCAGGUAUUGGAUCAUGGGGGUAGAUCUCUCAUGAAUGGCUCAGUGCAUUCCCUUGGGGAUGAGUGAGUUCUUGCUCAGUUAGAUAUGGCUGUUUAAGAGUCUGGGGCCUCCCCCUUGGCUCUCUUGCUCCCUCUCUUGCCACAUGAUAUACUGGAUCCCCCUUCACCUUCUGCCAUGACUGUAAGCUUCCUGAGGCCUCACCAGAAGCUGAACAGAUGCCAGUGCCAUGCUUCCUGUAGAGCCUGCAGAACCAUGAACCAGUCAAACCUCUAUAAAUUACCCAGCCUCAGGCAUUCCUUUAUAGCAACGAGAAACAGGCUAACACAGACUCUUUCAGGAAGAAGGAUUAGGAAGGCAGCAAUGGGCAGGUGACCAACCAUAGUUUGCCCAGGGGCACAGGGGAAGGUCAGAGCCAGGUUUGUAGUGAAGACCCCCAUCCAGAGCCCUCCCAAGUCCCAGCUCUCUGCCCUUCAGUCAGAUGAAGCUGCUCUAGAGCCAAGGGACAGUUCCCAGGACAAAGGCCAGCUCUGCCUAUGUUGGCCAGGAGGCAUGGGGGAUGGAUAUGUGCAUAGCCCUUCAUGGCCUCCCCAGCCAGUCCUCAGCACCCCCUACAUACAUACACACACACACACACACACCCCACAGACUGCAUGAUGGAAGGCGACUUCUCCAUCUCCCAGAGUCUGCUUAAUAGGAAACAGGGUUUAGUGGAACAAUUGAUGGCAACCCGAGCCCUCAAACUGGAAACAUCUGUCCUUGCCGUAGCACAAGCUCUGCAACCCAGCUCCAGCCCAGCUCCUGAAGGGGCCAACCCCGCCUGGCCCAGGGGACUCAAAAAUCUUCCCCAAGCCUAGGAGGGGUCUGCAGACUCCCAGCUCUGGACCCCAGCGCCUCAUGGGCUCUUAACCUCAUGCUGCUCCAACCCCAGGCCACGGAGACUCAGAGCUGAUGGUCCCUGGGCUAGACUUUAUCUACCCACCCCUACUGGGGGCCAGGGCUGGACAUAGAGAUGUCUCAGGGGAGGGGUCUAGCCUUAGCCCCCCCAAGACCCUCACUCAUUCCCCUACCUCUGCUCCAUCUACACCACCCUUUCUGUCCCAUCUCCUUGGUCAGUCACUGUCUACCUUCAAGACCAGGCUCAGCAGCUGUCCUUGCAGCCAGCCCAGCUGUCAGAUGCCCCUCCCUGGGCCCACAGUGUUUGGGUCCAGACUGACUUCAUGAGGUUAGGAAGCCACUCCGGGCAGCGUCAUGCCAUGCACUUCACACACAAGUCCCACUGCCAUGCUGGCAUCUGUUAGGCCACCAGGAACCUCUGGACAGGAGAACUCACCAAAUACACCUGGGACCAAGGAGCCAUGGCACAGGGUUGGGACCACUGCAGGUUCCAGAAGAUAGAAGCUGAUACCCACACACUUGGCUGCUUUCUAGCCACUACUGCUGGGGUGGAGACCAGGGUGCUCCCCUCAAUCCCACUGGAGAGAACCUGGCCUUGGAGCAGCUGUCUGGCUACCCAGGGGCACCUGUGUGCCUGGGCUGUCACUGGACUCUCUGAACCUCAGUUUCCCCAUCUGUUCCUGGGAUGCCGAGCCUGUAGAAGCAGAACUGUGGAACACAAGGUGACAGAAGUGAAGUACCUGGGAAGCGGGGGAUGGAGACAUGUCAGGGGCUCAGUGGUGGCAGCUGUCACUGCAGGCUGCCAGGAAUGUUGGUCCUAACCUGAAUUCACCUGGAUGACAACCUCACAAAGAGAAUUUCCAGGGAAUUUCUCUGAGUGUAUGUUGAAAAGAUGCAAAGGCCAGGCAGGGGGAGGGGCAGCACCUAAGCCCCAAGAGCUCUGCCCAGAGCCUGGCACGGGGACCUUGUGGCAGGGCUGUUGGUCUUUCGGGUGAGGGUAGAGGGAGUAGAAGAAACUCUGCCUGGAGCUAGAGCCUGGGUCUUAGCCACCUCAGAGGAGGACUCACCUCAUUAAGCAGUUUAAAUCCUGCCUCCUCUAGGAAGCCAUCCUGGAUCAGCCCAGCCCCAGUGUCCUUCCUUCCCUGGCUCCCAAAGCUCAACCACAGUCCUGCCAUUCCCAUUCCCUUCCAAGGGCACAGAACAAACAAAACACUGGCCUUUCCUGUUCCCCAGUCUCCAGUCUGCAUCAUGGGGAUGACAUUCUUCCCUACAGACCUCAGAUGGCCAUGGAGGCCAGAGGGGAGAUUGGCCUGCCCUGAGGCUAGGAGGAGGCUGCUGCUUGGCAGGGGGCUGUUGGCUGAGGGACGUAGGGGCUGAAGGAUCUGUUGUCACGGGGAGAGGCUAGGGCCAGGGUGUGGGGAGAGGGGACACGCGGGAAGGUGAGUCCUGCUCAGGGACAGCCCCUCCAGCUGCUGGCUGCACUCACCCAGUACACCCCCACCAGGAUGGAGCUGGCAGAGCAGGGGGUAUCCAGGGCAGAGAAACAUCUCCAAACCAGCCACCCCAACCCCACAGAGAGCAGGAGGCCCCAACCCAGCCUCCUCCUCAGCUUAGAGACUAGGAAACCAGAUGUUGUGAGGCGGCCAUUCCAAAAUGCACAGAUCUUCAAAGCGGGGCUAUUUUCCAUGUCCUUUGGGCAAUUUUAGAACAAGUUUAUAAAGCUGGAAUGUUAAUGGAUGACAGUCGCGCUGUGCUCAUGCGUGCAUCUGUGUCUGGGCACCUUUGGUGGCUGUUGCUGCUGCAGCCUCUUGGGAGGUGGGGCAGGGGGUGCAUUUCUUAAAGGACCUCCAGGUUUCCUGUUAGGUUUGCUGCAUGUUACAAAGGACUGAACCUUUAGGAAUCGAGGGAGGGGCUUCAUGGCCAGCUGUCAAGGGGGUGUGGACAGCCCUGAGGACCCCCUGUCUGGGGUGGGGGUGGAAGGCACAGUCUGGUCUGAAACCACCCUUCACAUGCCCCUUAUCCCAGCUCCAUGUGGGAUCCAGGUGUAUUCACGGGCUGAGGUCGCCACGACAAAGUGCUGCAGACCGGGCGACUGAAACAACAGAUGUGAAUUUUCUGGCUGUUCUGGAGGCUGGACCUCCAAGAUCAGGGUGUGAACCAAGCUGGCUGCCCCUGAUGCCUCUUGCCUGGGCGUGCAGACAGCCACCUUCCCGCCGAGGCCUCGUGUGGUCACCCCUGGCCUGUGUCUUGUCUGGGCCCUAAUCUCCUCUUCUUUAAAGGACAUCUAUCGUGUUGGGUCAGGACCCACCGACCUGGCCUCACUUUAACUUCAUUACCUCUCUCUAAAACCCAUCUCCGCUGGGCGCGGUGGCUCGUGCCUAUACUCUCAGCACUUUGGGAGGCCAAGGCACGUGGAUCACGAGGUCAAAAAUACAAAAAUUAGCUGGGCGUGGUGGUGCGCGCCUGUAGUCCUAGCUACUUGGGAGGCUGAGGCAGGAGAAUCGCUUGAAC